rnacentral:misc_RNA from 1 species
AUGACUUCAAGGAGGCUAUUUGCUCAUCAUUGGAGGACUACAACAAGCAAAUUGAACAACUAAAACAGGAGAUGAAUGAUGCCACACAUGGUGCUGACAACAUAAGAAAUGAUAUUAGUGCACUUGCUCAAAGAUAUGCUGUCAUUGAUCGAGAUGAGGAAUGUGGGGUUUGUAAGCGCAAAAUCUUAAUUGUGGGUGGGGACUACCGCAUGUCUCGGGGCUAUACAUCAGCAGGAC